CAAGGAGCCUCUUUGACAGCCGAGUGAUUUAAAGCAAUCAAAUUCCUUUAGCCUUAAAUCGUGCAGCUGUUUUACAAGCUCUUCC
rnacentral:pre_miRNA from 1 species